UUUGUUUUCAUUCAAUAAAUCUAAUAUUCAUUUCCUUGCUACAGUAUUUCAAUUUUUUUAUUUCUUAAUCCUUGUUUGGGUCAUAUCCUUGGCAAAAUGAGAAUGAGAAAUUGUGCCGUUGUGGCCCUAUACAAGACACAUGAAGUCAACAAUUGUAGGCUAAAUUUGACAAGCAACGAUCGGAAUUCUUCUAUUUCUGCAAAAAAAAAAAAAAAAUGCCUCUCAAAAUGCGUUUUAAUUUUGAUAUGGAAGCUUCUCUUAAAAUGCCAAUACCUCGAAGAUGAAGAAAGCUUAUUAUACGGUUUCUCUUAAAUGAUGCAAUCAUUCGGAUGACAAUCCUGAUCCCGAAUCAUGUAGUUGUUCGUGAAAAUUGCAAAUGCUUAUGAGAUUUUGAAAGAUGAAGCUACAAGGGAGCAGUAUGAUUAUGCAAUUGUACACCCAGAGGAGAAUCUAUUUUUUAGUUAGUGGAAUCAACAGUUGUAGUAGGUUGUGUUUCAACUUGUCUAAAAUCUCAAGCUAUGGUUGCAAGAGGGGAUCUUGGAGCACAGUUGCCCAUUGAAGAGGUUCCUAUAUUGCAGGUGAUUGUUUUGGAAACAUUUCUUCUUUUGGCCCCUUACAGUUCAAUAUGACAGAUGGAACUUGGGUGAUUACAGGGGCGGAGCUAGGAAUUUUAUUCAGUGCGGGCAAAAUUUAAUUAAGUUUGAACUUUUCAGUUGUGGUUUAAUCAUAUUACGACAACGUUAAAAAUGAC